rnacentral:tRNA from 1 species
GCCGGCGUAGCUCAGCGGUAGAGCAACCGCCUUGUAAGCGGUGGGUCGUGGGUUCAAAUCCCUCCGCCGGCU